rnacentral:rRNA from 1 species
UACAGAGGGUGCAAGCGUUGUUCGGAAUUACUGGGCGUAAAGCGCGUGUAGGCGGCGGCGUUAGUCGGAUGUGAAAUCCCUCAGCUCAACUGAGGAAGUGCAUUCGAUACUGCGUCGCUUGAAUGUCGGAGGGGAUGGCGGAAUUCCCGGUGUAGAGGUGAAAUUCGUAGAUAUCGGGAGGAACACCUGUGGCGAAGGCGGCCAUCUGGACGACAAUUGACGCUGAGACGCGAAAGCUAGGGUAGCAAACGGG